GGGUUCGAAGCUCAACGGUCGAGCGGCCGGUUGUUAACCGGUUGGGUGCGGGUUCGAGUCCCGCCGGGCCCU
rnacentral:tRNA from 1 species